rnacentral:rRNA from 1 species
UACGAAGGGGGCUAGCGUUGUUCGGAAUUACUGGGCGUAAAGCGCGCGCAGGCGGUCUUCCAAGUCAGUGGUGAAAGCCCGGAGCUCAACUCCGGAACUGCCAUUGAAACUGUUAGACUUGAGGAUGAGAGAGGUGAGUGGAAUUCCCAGUGUAGAGGUGAAAUUCGUAGAUAUUGGGAAGAACACCGGUGGCGAAGGCGGCUCACUGGCUCAUUACUGACGCUCAGGCGCGAUAGCGUGGGAGCAAACCGG